rnacentral:rRNA from 1 species
UCAGUUCGGAUUGAAGGCUGAAAUUCGCCUUCAUGAAGCCGGAAUUGCUAGUAAUGGCAGGUCAGCAUACUGCCGUGAAUACGUUCCCGGGCCUUGUACACACCGCCCGUCACACCAUGAGAGUUGGGGAUACCCGAAGCCUGUGAGCUAACAGUAAUGAAGCAGCAGUCGAAGGUAGAAUCAAUGAUUGGGGUGAAGUCGUAACAAGGUACC